GGGGAUGUAACUCAGUGGUAGAGUGUUUGCCCAGUAUGCAUGAAGCCCUGGGUUCAAUUACCAGCACCACAA
rnacentral:tRNA from 1 species